rnacentral:rRNA from 1 species
CCUACGGGAGGCAGCAGUGAGGAAUAUUGGACAAUGGACGAGAGUCUGAACCUGCGAAGUAGCGUGAAGGAUGACUGCCCUAUGGGUUGUAAACCCCUUUUAUAAGGGAAGAAUAAAUGCUACGUGUAGCAUGAUGCCUGUACCUUAUGAAUAAGCAUCGGCUAACUCCGUGCCAGCAGCCGCGGUAAUACGGAGGAUGCGAGCGUUAUCCGGAGUUAUUGGGUUUAAAGGGUGGGUAGGCGGGUUUUUAAGUUAGUGGUUAAACGUCGGGGCUACACCUUGAUUUGCCAAUAAUACUGUAAGACUCGAGUUGAGACGAGGUAGGCGGAAUAAGUGAAGUAGCGGUGAAAUGCUGAGAUAUAA